AGCGUUGUUGCAUGAGUAGGAUCCCGACAAUUAAAGUUUGUGGACCUCCCAUUGUGGCCCAUUAAAAUUCGCAGUUAUUUUUAUAAAAAACGGGUUUUUCAGCGGUUUAACCGGGUACGGUUUGACCGGUUUUUCAGUCAACCGAUGGUUCUUAACGGUUCUGUUUGGAAGCGGUUUUUGGCUAUUACAAAACUGGUUCAGCCGGUCCGGUUUUCAAAACAGUUUGAAAUGUAUUAAUGGAAAAAGAAAGCUGCCCCUUUCAAGUUUCCACCAGCGUGCUUCUCCAAAACUAGCGAUACCCUUUUACCCUAACGCCUCCACUCCAGCGACUUCCUCCGCCACUCCAUCUUUUGAGCGCUGCGACUACCUCCGGCCACCAGAGAUGAGCGCCGCCACCCCAACGCCUAGCCGGGUUCAGAGUUUUAGCUAUGGUUGCUGAUGAAACCAACCUCCAACAGGAGGGUUUUACAGCCUCAGCCUCAAAGUUGGGGAAGAUGCAUUUUGCUGAUGUUAAUUGGGAGAUGAAGCGCCAAGCAAUCACUUUCGGAAUGAAAGUAAAAUCCGACUUGAGUGUAACUUGUCCACAUUGACACUAAUUAGUAGUAAUUAAUGACAUAUUCGGAAGUGUUGGUGUUAAUUACGGAUCGAGUGCUAAUGUUAGUCCAAACCUCGAUCUUUUGUUUGCAUCUAUGCAAUCGACUUCACAAGUAGUUGUGACAAGCGCAAUGUAGAAACUGGUGCUGAACUAGGGCACUUAGUUUACAACUACUUGCACGGGACUUAAUGAUCGUCUCUGGGUCCAAGUCAUGUUGGACCCAAGAAUCAGCGAGUCAUUGCUCGACACAAUAUGCGUCAGCUCACCCCCAACAGCUUCUUUCAUGAAAGGAUUUACAUCCUAAUGAUAAGCAAAGCUAAGGAUGUCUCCUUUCUCCGACCUAUAUUAAAGGAGGACAUAAUCAAGAAAUAGCAAAGUACGAUACUGGAAUUGGGUACGGGACCGGGUAAAGUGGGUCUACAACUAGAAAAUCGGGUUUCAAAAACUGGUCCGGUUGUCAAAAUCAGUUUAUCCGGACCCGAAGGACCCAAACCCGGAAAACAUGAUAAAGCCAUGUAAAAAAGUACAAUGUUUUAAUCGAAAAAGAGAGAGGUAUUCACCAAUGUGAACGAUGUCAUGAGAUCAUUUUUGGUGUAGCUUAAACCAAUAUUACAUGUAGUGGGAUGUUGGCAUUUCAUACCAAAAGAGACAUUUGCUCCUA